rnacentral:sRNA from 1 species
ACUAAAGGAACAAAGGCUAAGUUCGCGACGUCCUGGGGCUGCGAUUACUCACCCCAUCAAAAAGCGUUGUCGCAACCCCUUUGUGACCUACAUCCUGUAGG